ACGCUGACAGAAUGCUUAACACAUGCAAGUCAACUUGAAUUUGGGUUUAUAACUUAGGUUUGGGUGGCGGACGGGUGAGUAACGCGUAAAGAACUUGCCUCACAGCUAGGGACAACAUUUAGAAAUGAAUGCUAAUACCUAAUAUUAUGGUUAUAGGGCAUCCUAUAAUUAUGAAAGCUAAAUGCACUGUGAGAGAGCUUUGCGUCCCAUUAGCUAGUUGGAGAGGUAACAGCUCACCAAGGCGAUGAUGGGUAGCCGGCCUGAGAGGGUGAACGGCCACAAGGGGACUGAGACACGGCCCUUACUCCUACGGGAGGCAGCAGUGGGGAAUAUUGGACAAUGGACCGAGAGUCUGAUCCAGCAAUUCUGUGUGCACGAUGAAGUUUUUCGGAAUGUAAAGUGCUUUCAGUUGGGAAGAAAAAAAUGACGGUACCAACAGAAGAAGUGACGGCUAAAUACGUGCCAGCAGCCGCGGUAAUACGUAUGUCACGAGCGUUAUCCGGAUUUAUUGGGCGUAAAGCGCGUCUAGGUGGUUAUGUAAGUCUGAUGUGAAAAUGCAGGGCUCAACUCUGUAUUGCGUUGGAAACUGAAUAACUAGAGUACUGGAGAGGUAAGCGGAACUACAAGUGUAGAGGUGAAAUUCGUAGAUAUUUGUAGGAAUGCCGAUGGGGAAGCCAGCUUACUGGACAGAUACUGACGCUAAAGCGCGAAAGCGUGGGUAGCAAACAGGAUUAGAUACCCUGGUAGUCCACGCUGUAAACGAUGAUUACUAGGUGUUGGGGGUCGAACCUCAGCGCCCAAGCAAACGCGAUAAGUAAUCCGCCUGGGGAGUACGUACGCAAGUAUGAAACUCAAAGGAAUUGACGGGGACCCGCACAAGCGGUGGAGCAUGUGGUUUAAUUCG
rnacentral:rRNA from 1 species